CCCCCUCCGUGCCCCUCCAGUACAAGGAGCACCCCGCCCCUCGCCCCGACGACGAGCGCUCGUAGCCCGCGCCCUCCCCGUGUGCCGUGCGUGUCCUGCAGUAUCCCCGUACAGGCCCGACACGACACGUCGAGGUAAACCAACGCAUUUACCUGCGUUAUAUCUCAGCAGAAAUCGGUGGCGCCCAGAUACUUCAUUAGAAACCUGUGACUGGAUCGCUGUUUGCCUUGAGGGUUCGGCGAAAUACGAAGUUUUUUAUCCCUCUUUAUCCCAAGCUUUUAGAAAAGGAGGGAGGUAAAAAUUUCAUGUUUCGUAGGAUUUUAUAGUUCGGUUUGUAAUAGUAUGGGUGCAGAGAUAUCGGAAUUCAAUGAACAUACGUUACUAGAACUAAAGCGAUCUUGCUGUCUCUUUUACGCGUGAUAUUAAGUAGCAAUUUGAUACAGAGAUGGAUUAUUGGUUUUGGCAUUUAAAGAUCGGAUUAAAAUUUGGAUAUAUCUGUAAAAACGUCUAAAUUAAAAUUAAUCAAAAUAUACCUUUAAAUUUAAAACAAAAGUAGCGUUUUACAUACUUAUAUAUUCAGAUCGCACGGAUGGUUAUAUCGCUCCACCAAUACUUUUAAAACUUAAUUGAUAUGAACUAUAGUUGCCACAAAUAUAACUUUUAAAUUACUAAAUAUAACCUCAAAUACAUCAUUUAAUGAAAUAUCUUGUGUCUACACCCUUAAACAGACUGAAAAAUAUCACUAUUAGUAAUAAGAAUUGUUACCUAGUUAAAUAAUAAUUUUACUAAUCAUUUCCUAUCUGUGACGCACAAUAAAUAUUGUAAAAGCUUGGGUUAUAAAUAAACUAGUAUAAAAUCAUUAUCAAAUAAAUAGAUGCGAGAAAGUUCAUUAAAACGACUAUUUUGAAAUAAAUUUUGAGGUUAUGUUUUUUGUUAAUAGCUUUAUUGGUGGUAACACUGAAUCGCGCUAGCAAUAACUCAUAAUGUAUUGAGUAUGUUGUCGAUCCGGUUGUAUAUGCAAUACAAUGUAAACAAUAGCUCGUGAACUCUCACUCAUUUUCAGCGUCUUUUGGACGUAGCGCCAUUUUUUUACUAAGUAUUUUAAAAAAUGCAAAACACGAUCUUCCAACACUUACAGAACGGCACGGCGCGGUACAAAGCUGCCAUAUUUCUAUAUUUGAACAGGUUUUAAUAUUAUGUCUGAUAAAGUUACAAUAAUCAUACUUACGAUCCGUCCACACCGAGCAAACGCACAGCUAACUAAUUUCCUUUGAGUACAAACUUACCGGUCACCGAUAAUCGCAUGCGAUUUGCAAUAAAUUGCGAUCUGCUGCAUUGUAGCCGGCAAUUAUCUAAAAUCGCAUGCCAUUUGUUGCACCGUCUGUAGAUACCUUAUGUACUGAUAUAUUGCUGUCAUAUGGCUGCGUUCCUCUCGGUUUUUGUUCGUUGCUUAGUGUGGACGCACCACUAGAACAGUGGCAUAUUUUCAUUUUCAGAGUACCCAAUGUAUGUAGUUACGUUUUCAUAAAAUUCCAUCUAAAUGUUUUUGUAGCUCUCAUUAGGGAUAUAGUGUACUAUAUGUAUAUGCACUGGCCAUUUUAUAACACUGUUUUGUCUUGUCAUUGUGUAUUUUUCAUUUUUUGUCGAUAUAUUCAAGUAGUUUCCAAAAGAACUCUCAGUGUAAUAGUUUCAAUCAAUAUUUAUUAAUACAAAUUGGAUGAUAUUGUAUGGACGUAGUUCAUAAGUAUGUUGUAUGAUUUGAAGCCAAGUUGGCAGUUUUAAAAA